CACGCAGUCGAGUGUCACAGAACACACCGGUAAACAGCACACACCCUUCAUCCACCACUACGCCGCAGACCCCUUACUGAGCAAACUGGCAUUUCCGCAGAGCCAGCCGACGCCGACGCAGAUGCAGAUGCAGUGAGAGAUGCAGACAGUGGCACAGAGGGAAGCUGCCAGUUCUGACCUUAUAUUACACCUUGCAGUGAAGAAUGUGUGAUUGGCUGCAGAGGUCAGUCAAGGAGGAAUCUAUCAUAAUUCAUCAUAAUCAGCUGCUGCGCCGUUCCCUCAGGACAGAUGAACUCCUGACCCAUGGCGGACACGGUGGAGAUGAGAAUCACAUGAGGGUGAAAUACGAUGUUUACCAGCUUGACUGGUUUCUGUGGAAGAUUUUUUAAAAUCUAUCGGGGGCUGCGUGAACAACGUAAGCAGGUCAAGGCAUCUACAAAAGCAUGUGGUCAUUAAGUGAGCAUAUCAGUUUUUUUGCACACUUUUCCCAGCCGAUGCACAUUUAUCAUUUUUGGAUGUCACUUUGGAAACUUCAUCAGGAAGAUGACCUGUUCAAUGUUGGACUAAUGGAGUGAUGGACAUGCCAUUAUCUGUGCAUUAAUAUUAAAUAUUAUAUGUGCAAUUUGG